rnacentral:pre_miRNA from 1 species
CCCCUUUAAAGGAUAACUGAUUUCUUCUGGUGUUCGGAGUCUAUUCCUCUUUCUAGCACCAUUUGAAAUCGGUUAUAGUGAUUGGGGA